UGUUAAAAAUUUCAUUCAUUUGUACUUUUAAAAACUAAUGUGAUUGACGGAAUAACCAGACAGUGACAUGUUUCAUGCCACAUGCAUGUACCUCACGCCGACAUAUGAAGAUUAAUUUUUAGCAGCAGAAAUAGAUGGAUUUUUUAAUA
rfam:Gossypium raimondii Chr01_contig_38, whole genome shotgun sequence.